CUGAUUCUGUGUCUCCUCCCUCUCUCUCUGCCCCUCCCCUGCUCGUGCUCUGUCUCUCUCAAAAAUGAAUAAACAUUAAAAAAAUUUUAAAAAUAAAAAGAGAUUGCAGACAUGAUAGAGUGUCUAGAAGAGACUAUGUCGGGCAGAAUUGACCUUAACAAAAGUUAGGUCUUUACUCUUCAAAUAUAUUGGUUCUCAAACCUAACAUGCACAGAAUAACCUGAUGAGCUUGUUUAACAUGCACUGUCCCAAACUUUUCUUCCAAGGCCCAGGAGUAUUCACCUCUGUCACACAUCUCAGAACACCCUGAUUGAUGACACACAGACCAGCAUAUUUUGAGAAACAUGCCUUCAGAUUCUUGAUUUCCAUCGCUUCAUUCUGCCCUUUACUUGAGAACCGAUAGGAUCCUUCAUGAAGCAACCAGGUGAUUUUUUCUACAAGAACUCCUUACCAUAAGAGGUAUAUGACCUCCUUCUAUUCUGUUGGCAGCAUCCAUUUGCCUCAGGUCUGGGGAGCAACAGCAAGACAAAUGUAUGCCAAGAUUUCCCCUCUAAUGAGAGAAUUACUGGGGAGGAUGACAUCUCCUGGGCUGCAAGGAGAGAUUUUGGAGAUUUCUUGUGCUUUUUCAGGCUCAAUAAAUCAUUCCUCAGAUUA